rnacentral:rRNA from 1 species
UACGAAGGGGGCUAGCGUUGUUCGGAUUUACUGGGCGUAAAGCGCACGUAGGCGGACUAUUAAGUCAGGGGUGAAAUCCCGGGGCUCAACCCCGGAACUGCCUUUGAUACUGGUUGGCUUGAAUCCGGGAGAGGGAUGUGGAAUUCCAGGUGUAGCGGUGAAAUGCGUAGAUAUCUGGAGGAACACCGGUGGCGAAGGCGACAUCCUGGACCGGUAUUGACGCUGAGGCGCGAAAGCCAGGGGAGCAAACGGG